CACAGUCAUAUGGGGACAAUGGCUUCAACAUACUAACUUCAAGGGCACAAUUCAAUCCAUAACAACUACAUAAUGACCUUACAUGUGAAUAGAAUACUGGAGCUUCAGCGUGCACAAUUCUGUUUAAUUACAUAAAUAAAAAUAUCUGUACUUGGCUGCAAAAGAAAAGGAAAAAGAAGAAUGGGGGAGAAGUGAACGCAGAACAUAUCUACCAUGUGAGGUGGACCUUCAUUUUAUACCUAAGCUUUUCUGUAGAUGUCAGCUCUUUGGGGGAGCGAGGCUGACUGUAGUGAGGAGGAAUGUAAUCUAUGCCAAACUGCCUUCAUUCACAUCCCAGCAACUACAGUUAAGAGUGGAAAUAUUCAGGGUUUGAGAGGAUUCCCCACGGAUGCACAGCAAGUUCCUAGUGGAGCCAGGAUCUCGGGUCUCAACUCCUCUAGUCCAGGGAGUACAGGGAAAACCUGGAAAGAGACAGUGGGCUUCCAAAGGGCAAGGGGAAUGCUGGCGGUCUUAUCCCAGAAGAGCUCAGGGAACUCUGUUCCCUUCACCAUCCCAGGAUGGAUGUGUUUCUUUGCCUUUCUGGAAUUAAAAGGCUCCCUGUUUUUGA